GGGAGUGUAGCUGAGUGGUUUUAGCGGCUGUCUGUUAAACAGCGGACGCAGGUUCGAUUCCUGCCAUUCCCGCCA
rnacentral:tRNA from 1 species